rnacentral:rRNA from 1 species
AUUGAACGCUGGCGGCAUGCUUUACACAUGCAAGUCGAACGGCAGCGCGGGCUUCGGCCUGGCGGCGAGUGGCGAACGGGUGAGUAAUACAUCGGAACGUGCCCAGUAGUGGGGGAUAGCUCGGCGAAAGCCGGAUUAAUACCGCAUACGACCUGAGGGUGAAAGCGGGGGAUCUUCGGACCUCGCGCUAUUUGAGCGGCCGAUGGCAGAUUAGCUAGUUGGUGGGGUAAAGGCCUACCAAGGCGACGAUCUGUAGCUGGUCUGAGAGGACGACCAGCCACACUGGGACUGAGACACGGCCCAGACUCCUGCGGGAGGCAGCAGUGGGGAAUUGUGGACAAUGGGCGAAAGCCUGAUCCAGCAAUGCCGCGUGUGUGAUGAAGGCCUUCGGGUUGUAAAGCACUUUUGGCGGGAACGAAAAGGACUGUGCCAAUACCACGGUUCGAUGACGGUACCCGCAGAAUAAGCACCGGCUAACUACGUG